AACUAUGGCAGAAGGAUCUGGUGUGACCAACAUUUGCCCUUUUUGAACACCCUUUGUUAUAGCUGUGUGGGAGAAAUUAAUUUUGCUUAUUGCAUAAGUCAAAUAUUAGGGUGGAAACCUGAGUCACAAAAUUACCACUCUGGAGACUCUAUUACAGAAGCUCUUCAGCCAGAGGAAUACCAUUCAGUGAAUUUAAAUCCCAUUUCACUUUCUUCAGCAUGAGGCACAUUAGAUUACAUUAUACCGGCGCUGCAUUCUUCUUACUGCUGUUCUCUGCAACAGGUAAUUGACUUUCGCAUUUAAUGAAACAUCUUGAGGAU
ensembl:lncRNA